ensembl:snRNA U6 U6 spliceosomal RNA
GUGCUUGCUUCAGCAGCACAUAUACUAAAAUUGGAGCGAUACAGAGAAGAUUAGCAUGGCCCCUGCACAAGGAUGGCAUGCAAAUUCAUGAAGCAUUCCAUAUUUUG